rnacentral:rRNA from 1 species
AAGGGUGCGUAGGCGGCCUGUUAAGUCAGGGGUGAAAUUUUUCGGCUCAACCGGAAACUUGCCUUUGAUACUGAUGGGCUUGAAUGCAGCUGAGGUAGGGCGGAAUGUGACAAGUAGCGGUGAAAUGCAUAGAUAUGUCACAGAACACCAAUUGCGAAGGCAGCUUACUAAAGUGUGAUUGACGCUGAGGCACGAAAGCGUGGGGAUCAAACAGGAUUAGAUACCCUUGU